GACGAACCACACAAACGUUAUUCGGAAUUACUGGGCUUAAAGGGUGCGUAGGCGGCAAUUCAAGUCAGGUGUGAAAUGCCUGAGCUCAACUGAGGCAUUGCGCUUGAAACUGAACUGCUUGAGUAUCCCAGGGGUGUGCGGAACUGCCAGUGGAGCGAUGAAAUGUGUUGAUAUUGGCAGGAACACCGGAGGCGAAAGCGGCACACUGGGGGAUAACUGACGCUGAGGCACGAAAGCCAGGGGAGCGAACGGG
rnacentral:rRNA from 1 species